rnacentral:rRNA from 1 species
UACGAAGGGGGCUAGCGUUGCUCGGAAUCACUGGGCGUAAAGCGCGCGUAGGCGGCUUUGCAAGUCGGGUGUGAAAUCCCCAGGCUUAACCUGGGAACUGCAUUCGAGACUGCAUUGCUAGAGUAUGGGAGAGGGAAGUGGAAUUUCCGGUGUAGCGGUGAAAUGCGUAGAUAUCGGAAGGAACAUCAGUGGCGAAAGCGACUUCCUGGACCAAUACUGACGCUCAUGUGCGAAAGCGUGGGGAGCAAACAGG